rnacentral:misc_RNA from 1 species
GGCCGAUUGAAAGUUGAUUUAUCCAAUCUCUUCCUCUUCAUUAAAAAUAACAUUUAAAAUUAAUUUUUCGUAAAUAAAUGACAAAAAUAUUUAGAUAAAAGAUUAUACAUGAAUUGUGUUACAGAGAUGCACAAAAGGGAAGGAUUAUGAAUAAUCUUUGAAAGAUUAUUCAAAGAUUAUACAAUUAUCAUUAUGACAAAUUAAUUAAUUAGGAUGAAAUGAAAACUUGAAAAUAAAAUAUGAAAAUGUAAGAGUUUUUGGAGCAGAGAAGGUUGAUUCCAUAACAGACACACACCUGUCUUAAAAAUGAUUUAAUAAUAUUACUUAAAAAUUU